rnacentral:ncRNA from 1 species
CAUUGGUAUUGACUUGGUUAAGUGAACCCACCCGAACCGUAGAGAAAGCGAGUCUUCAUAGGUACUGUAAUUGUCACUGCUAUGGACUCGAACCUGGGUGAUCUAUUCAUGAUCAGGAUGAAGCAUGGGUGAAACUAAGUGGAGGUCUGACCGACUGAUGUUGAAGAAUUAGCCAGCGAGUGAGCUGUGGUUAGGAGUGAAAGUCCACUCGCACCCAAAACUAGCUGG